UACGAAGGGGACUAGCGUUGUUCGGAAUCACUGGGCGUAAAGCGCACGUAGGCGGAUUUGUAAGUCAGGGGUGAAAUCCCGGGGCUCAACCUCGGAACUGCCUUUGAUACUGGGUAUCUCGAGUCCGGAAGAGGUGAGUGGAAUUCCGAGUGUAAAGGUGAAAUUCGUAGAUAUUGGGAAGAACACCGGUGGCGAAGGCGGCUCACUGGCUCGUAACUGACGCUCAUGCACGACAGCGUGGGGAUCAAACAGG
rnacentral:rRNA from 1 species